rnacentral:rRNA from 1 species
GGAGCUAACGCGUAAAUCGACGCUGGGAGUACGGCGCAAGGUUAAAACUCAAAUGAAUUGGGGGCCCGCACAAGCGGUGGAGCAUGUGGUUUAAUUCGAUGCAACGCGAAGAACCUCACCUGGUCUUGACAUCCAUAGAAUCUUUCAGAGAUGAGAGAGUGCCUUCGGGAGCUAUGAGACAGGUGCUGCAUGGCUGUCGUCAGCUCGUGUUGUGAAAUGUUGGGUUAAGUCCCGCAACGAGCGCAACCCCUAUCCUUUGUUGCCAGCACGUAAUGGUGGGAACUCAAAGGAGACUGCCGUUGAUAAAGCGGAGGAAGGUGGGGACGACGUCAAGUCAUCAUGGCCCUUACGACCAGGGCUACACACGUGCUACAAUGGCGUAUACAAAGGGAUGCGAAGGUGCGAACUGGAGCGGACCUCACAAAGUACGUCUAAGUCCGGAUUGGAGUCUGCAACUCGACUCCAUGAAGUCGGAAUCGCUAGUAAUCGUGAAUCAGAAUGUCACGGUGAAUACGUUCCCGGGCCUUGUACACACCGCCCGUCACACCAUGGGAGUGGGUUGCACCAGAAGUAGAUAGCUUAACCUUCGGGAGGGCGUUUACCACGGUGUGGUUCAUGACUGGGGUGAAGUCGUAACAAGGUAACCA